rnacentral:rRNA from 1 species
GCGCCUACGGGAGGCAGCAGUGAGGAAUAUUGGUCAAUGGCCGAGAGGCUGAACCAGCCAAGUCGCGUGAGGGAUGACGGCCCUACGGGUUGUAAACCUCUUUUGUCGGGGAGCAAGACCCGCCACGAGUGGCGGAGCGAGAGUACCCGAAGAAAAAGCAUCGGCUAACUCCGUGCCAGCAGCCGCGGUAAUACGGAGGAUGCGAGCGUUAUCCGGAUUUAUUGGGUUUAAAGGGUGCGCAGGCGGACCAUCAAGUCAGCGGUAAAAUUGCGGUGCUCAACGCCGUAGAGCCGUUGAAACUGGGG